rnacentral:rRNA from 1 species
UACAGAGGUGGCAAGCGUUGUUCGGACUUACUGGGCGUAAAGGGCGCGUAGGCGGUCUUGUAAGUCCCGUGUGAAAUCCCUCGGCUCAACUGAGGAACUGCACGGGAAACUGCUUGGCUUGAGUUCGGGAGAGGGAAGCGGAAUUCCGGGUGUAGCGGUGAAAUGCGUAGAUAUCCGGAGGAACACCGGUGGCGAAGGCGGCGCGCUGGGCUGGAACUGACGCUGGGGAGCGAAAGCGUGGGUAGCAAACAGG